rnacentral:rRNA from 1 species
GACGAACGCUGGCGGCGUGCUUAACACAUGCAAGUCGAACGGAAGGGCCUGCUUUCCCUUGUGGAUUGCGGGUACUCGAGUGGCGAACGGGUGAGUAACACGUGAGUGAUCUGCCCCCAACUUGGGUAUAAGCCUGGGAAACUGGGUCUAAUUCCCGAUAGGACUGCAGGGUGGUGCCUGUGGUGGAAAACGAUUUUCUAGUGGUUGGGGAUGAGCUCGCGGCCUAUCAGCUUGUUGGUGGGGUAAUGGCCUACAAAGGCGGCGACGGGUAGCCGGCCUGGGGGGGGGGACGGCAACGUUGGGACUGAGAUACGGCGCAGGCUCCUACGGGAGGCAGCAGUGGGGAAUAUUGCACAAUGGGCGGAAGCCUGAUGCAGCGACGCCGAGUGGGGGAUGACGGCCUUCGGGUUGUGAACUCCUUUCGACCGCGAGGAAGCCACCUGGUUGGAAGGGUGGUGACGGUAGUGGUAGAAGAAGCACCGGCUAACUACGUG